rnacentral:rRNA from 1 species
GGACUACCCGGGUAUCUAAUCCUGUUUGCUACCCACGCUUUCGUGUCUCAGCGUCAGUUACGGUCCAGAAAGCCGUCUACACCACCGGUGUUCCUCCUGAUAUCUACGCAUUUCACCGCUACACCAGGAAUUCCACUUUCCUCUCCCGUACUCUAGUCCCUCAGUAUUCACCGCACCCUCCCGGUUAAGCCGGGAGAUUUCACAGCAAACUUAAGGAACCGCCUACACACCCUUUACGCCCAGUAACUCCGAACAACGCUUGCUGCCUACGUAUUACCGCGGCUGCUGGCAC